rnacentral:rRNA from 1 species
UACAGAGGGUGCAAGCGUUGUUCGGAAUUACUGGGCGUAAAGCGCGCGUAGGCGGAUCUGCAAGUCGGGGGUGAAAUCCCGAGGCUCAACCUCGGAACUGCCUUCGAUACUGCGGGUCUCGAGUCCGGGAGAGGUGAGUGGAAUUCCUAGUGUAGAGGUGAAAUUCGUAGAUAUCAGGAGGAACACCGGUGGCGAAGGCGGUUCUCUGGGCAUUACCUGACGCUGAGGAGCGAAAGUGUGGGGAGCGAACAGG